CUUACGUCAGUCCACCUCUGGCUCUCGUUGGGAGAAGACGUGCGGUCGUUCGCUCCGUCGUCACUUGAUCCCUGGCUGUCGACGAGAGCAGUCGCAUCGGUCUGCGCUCCUACUGUGAGCUGUCCUAACUUGCCCAGACAUGCCGUGAUGACGUCACAGCUGACGUCACAGGAUGUCCGGAACUGGUGGUCAUAGCUGCGAUGCUUUGCAACCUGCCUCUGUGCUCCGUCGCCCAGCGACGGUCAGCGGCCUUUCCGGACCGCUUUCUUCAAGAUGGCGCCGUUGAUCUUCAAUUAAACUCCUUCUCUCCACUCUA